rnacentral:rRNA from 1 species
AACCUCCGCAAUGUGAGAAAUCGCGACGGGGGGAUCCCAAGUGCCAUUCUUAACGGGAUGGCUUUUCAUUAGUGUAAAGAGCUUUUGGAAUAAGAGCUGGGCAAGACCGGUGCCAGCCGCCGCGGUAACACCGGCAGCUCUAGUGGUAACAAUUUUUAUUGGGCCUAAAGCGUCCGUAGCCGGUUUAAUAAGUCUCUGGUGAAAUCCUGUAGCUUAGCUGUGGGAAUUGCUGGAGAUACUAUUAGACUUGAGACCGGGAGAGGUUAGAGGUACUCCCAGGGUAGAGGUGAAAUUCUGUAAUCCUGGGAGGACCGCCUGUUGCGAAGGCGUCUAACUGGAACGGUUCUGACGGUGAGGGACGAAAGUUAGGGGCGCGAACCGGAUUAGAUACCCGGGUAGUCCUAACUGUAAACGAUGCGGACUUGGUGUUGGGGUGGCUUUGAGCUGCUUCAGUGCCGAAGGGAAGCUGUUAAGUCCGCCGCCUGGGAAGUACGGUCGAAAGACUGAAACUUAAAAGGAAG